rnacentral:rRNA from 1 species
UAGGCGGAUAGAUAAGUCAGUGGUGAAUUCUGCAGCUUAACUGUAGACUUGCCGUUGAUACUGUCAGUCUUGAGUAUGGUCAAGGCAGGCGGAAUGUGUAAUGUAGCGGUGAAAUGCUUAGAUAUUACACAGAACACCGAUUGCGAAGGCAGCUUGCUGGGCCAUUACUGACGCUGAUGCACGAAAGCGUGGGGAUCGAACAGGAUUAGAUACCCUGGUAGUCCACGCCGUAAACGAUGAUCACUCGCUGUUGGCGAUACACAGUCAGCGGCUAAGCAAAAGCAUUAAGUGAUCCACCUGGGGAGUACGGCCGCAAGGCUGAAACUCAAAGGAAUUGACGGGGGCCCGCACAAGCGGAGGAACAUGUGGUUUAAUUCGAAGAUACGCGAGGAACCUUACCUGGGCUUAAAUGUAGAGUGCAUUGGUGAGAAAUCAUCAUUUUCUUCGGAACUCUCUGCAAGGUGCUGCAUGGUUGUCGUCAGCUCGUGCCGUGAGGUGUCGGGUUAAGUCCCAUAACGAGCGCAACCCUUAUCGUUAGUUGCCAGCGGGUAAUGCCGGGGACUCUAGCGAAACUGCCGGUGUAAACCGAGAGGAAGGUGGGGAUGACGUCAAAUCAGCACGGCCCUUAUGUCCAGGGCUACACACGUGUUACAAUGGCCGGUACAGAGGGCAGCUACCUGGAGACAGGAUGCGAAUCUCGAAAGCCGGUCUCAGUUCGGAUCGGAGUCUGCAACUCGACUCCGUGAAGCUGGAUUCGCUAGUAAUCGCGCAUCAGCCAUGGCGCGGUGAAUACGUUCCCGGGCCUUGUACACACCGCCCGUAAGGGC